CCUACCAAGGCUACGAUCAGUAGGGGGUUCUGAGAGGAUUAACCCCCACACUGUUAUUGAGACACGACCCAGAUUCUUAGGGGAGCCACCAUUGAGGAAUAUGGGUCAAUGGGCGGAAGCCUGAACCAGCCAUCCGGCGGGAAGGAAGACAGCCUUACGGGUGUUAAACUUCUUUUCUGUCAGAAGAAUAAGCUUUCGAGACGAGUGAUGCCGGUAUGACAGGAAUAAGCAUCGGCUAACUCCGUGCCAGCAGCCGCGGUAAUACGGAGGAUGCAAGCGUUAUCCGGAUUUAUUGGGUUUAAAGGGUGCGCAGGUUGUCAGAUAAGUCAGGGGUGAAAUUCUGUAGCUUAACGGUAGAAUUGCCAUUGAUACUGAAGGACUAGAAUAAAGAUGAGGUAGGCGGAAUGUGUAGUGUAGCGGUGAAAUGCAUAGAUAUUACACAGAACACCGAUUGCGAAGGCAGCUCACUAAUCCAUCAUUGACGCUGAGGCACGAAAGCGUGGGGAGCAAACAGGAUUAGAUACCCUGGUAGUCCACGCCGUAAACGAUGAUCACUCGCUGUUUGCGAUAUACAGUACAGCGGCUAAGCGAAAGC
rnacentral:rRNA from 1 species